CCUACGGGGAGCAGCAGUGGGGAAUAUUGGACAAUGGGCGAAAGCCUGAUCCAGCCAUGCCGCGUGUGUGAAGAAGGCCUUCGGGUUGUAAAGCACUUUCAGUGGGGAAGAAAGCCUUGGGGCUAAUACCCUCGAGGAAGGACAUCACCCACAGAAGAAGCACCGGCUAACUCCGUGCCAGCAGCCGCGGUAAUACGGAGGGUGCGAGCGUUAAUCGGAAUUACUGGGCGUAAAGCGCGCGUAGGCGGUCUGAUAAGCCGGUUGUGAAAGCCCCGGGCUCAACCUGGGAACGGCAUCCGGAACUGUCAGGCUAGAGUGCAGGAGAGGAAGGUAGAAUUCCCGGUGUAGCGGUGAAAUGCGUAGAGAUCGGGAGGAAUACCAGUGGCGAAGGCGGCCUUCUGGACUGACACUUACGCUGAGGUGCGAAAGCGUGGGUAGCAAACAGGAUUAGAUACCCGAGUAGUC
rnacentral:rRNA from 1 species